rnacentral:rRNA from 1 species
AUGUACUCCAAAGAAGAUGGAGGGAUGGGCUUUGGAGACCUUCACUCCAUUAAUUUGGCCAUGUUAGCUAAGCAGUCUUGGAGAUCGAUAACUAAUCUGGAUUCUCUCUAUGCAAAGGUGUUUCGUGCUAAGUAUUAUUCGGGUGGCAAUUUAUUAUUGGCUGACCUGAAAAAAGGCUCCUCCUUUGCAUGGCAAAGUUUGGUAGCGGGUCUACAAACUUUUAAAAGGGGCUAUAUUUGGCGCAUUGGUGAUGGUAGCAAGGUUAAUAUUUGGACUAACCCAUGGGUUCCAUCUAGUCCAGACCAUCGUGUAAUCACGACAAGGGGUCAAACUCUGAUAUCAAGGUAUCGGAUCUAA